rnacentral:rRNA from 1 species
UGAGCAAUCUGCCCUUCUCAUCGGAAUAAGCGUUGGAAACGACGUCUAAUGCCGAAUACGACCUCCUUUCGCAUGAUCGGAGGUGGAAAGCUCCGGCGGAGAAGGAUGAGCUCGCGGCCUAUCAGCUAGUUGGUGUGGGUAAUGGCCCACCAAGGCGACGACGGGUAGCCGGCCUGAGAGGGUGACCGGCCACACUGGGACUGAGACACGGCCCAGACUCCUAGGGAGG